rnacentral:rRNA from 1 species
GAUGAACGCUGGCGGCGUGCCUAAUACAUGCAAGUCGAGCGAACGGACGAGAAGCUUGCUUUUCUGAUGUUAGCGGCGGACGGGUGAGUAACACGUGGUUAACCUACCUAUAAGACUGGGAUAACUUCGGGAAACCGGAGCUAAUACCGGAUAAUAUUUUGAACCGCAUGGUUCAAAAGUGAAAGAAGGUCUUUCUGUCACUUAUAGAUGGCUCCGAGCUGCAUUAGCUAGUUGGUAAGGUAACGGCUUACCAAGGCAACGAUGCAUAGCCGACCUAAGAGGGUGGUCGGCCACACUGGAACUGAGACACGGUCCAGACUCCUACGGGAGGCAGCGGUAGGGAAUCUUCCGCAAUGGGCGAAAGCCUGACGUAGCAACGCCGCGUGAGGGAUGAUGGUCUUCGGAUCGUAAAACUCUGUUAUUAGGGAAGAACAUAUGUGUAAGUAACUGUGCACAUCUUGACGGUACCUAAUCAGAAAGCCACGGCUAACUACGUG